rnacentral:rRNA from 1 species
GACGAACGCUGGCGGCGUGCUUAACACAUGCAAGUCGAACGGUGAAGCGCCUUCCUUUUUGGUGGGUGUGGAUGAGUGGCGAACGGGUGAGUAACACGUGAGUAACCUGCCCCCUUCUUCUGGAUAACCGCAUGAAAGUGUGGCUAAUACGGGAUAUUCUGGGUCUGUCGCAUGAUGGGUCUGGGAAAGAUAUUGUUUCGGUGGGGGAUGGGCUCGCGGCCUAUCAGCUUGUUGGUGGGGUAAUGGCCUACCAAGGCGGUGACGGGUAGCCGGCCUGAGAGGGUGGACGGUCACACUGGGACUGAGACACGGCCCAGACUCCUACGGGAGGCAGCAGUGGGGAAUAUUGCACAAUGGGCGCAAGCCUGAUGCAGCGACGCCGCGUGAGGGAUGGAGGCCUUCGGGUUGUGAACCUCUUUCGCCAGUGAAGCAGGCCUGCCUCGUUUGUGGGUGGGUUGACGGUAGCUGGAUAAGAAGCGCCGGCUAACUACGUG